AUAGAUGCAUAUGAGGAAGCUCGACUCAAACAUCCAUACGCAACUGUGAUUUCUGACUGGUAGACAGAUGAGGAUGAUGAUCGCCUGUCAUACAUCUAAAGACAGAACAGGACAGUAUAGACACAUCUAUACCAUGAUGAAGAAAAAUUACUUGGAACAAAGAGGCUGGAUAAAAGGCAGCACGACUGACUGAAGUUUUAAAAUCAUGCAACGUCAUAAAGCAGCAGCUGGGCCUGAUUCUCACAAAACCAAAACAGACGUGAUGAAAUUCCAGAUGUGAACACAUUUGACCUUCCUUUGGCCAAUUUGAUUUGGAAAAGCUUGAAAAUCAACUAAAGGAGCAGCCCGAACAAAUGAAGAAACUGAUGGAGUGAGGACAAAUGUUCAUACCACGCCACUGAUAAAGAAGUGGAAAAAUGCAUUACAAGGUAGCUACAACUCGCCCUGACAGGGAUGGAGGAAGAAAGAAGAGAAAGCUAAUGUGUCAAAUGUCUACAUCACUAUUUUGUUUUAUUUUUUUUAAACAACAUUUUAAGUGUAUUAGGAUGUUCCCUGAUACUUGAACAAUUUGUUUCUUUCAUUUGCAUUUAUAUAUAUAUAUAUGUAUAUGUAUAUAUAUAUGUGUGUGUGUGUGUGUGUAUAUAUAUGUAUGGUAUGUAUGUGUGUGCGCCAAAUUCUGAAGAAAGAAACAUCUUGAUACAUUUUUAAUAAACGUAAUACAAAUAAAAUUAUAAAUAUAAAAUUGCACAAGACGUGUGUAUAUAUGAAAUGUAUAUGUUUGUGCAAUUGAUUUUGUUCAAGUUUAUUU
rnacentral:lncRNA from 1 species